UACGUAGGGUGCAAGCGUUGUCCGGAAUUAUUGGGCGUAAAGCGCGCGCAGGCGGUCUUUUAAGUCUGAUGUGAAAGCCCCCGGCUCAACCGGGGAGGGUCAUUGGAAACUGGGAGACUUGAGUGCAGAAGAGAAGAGUGGAAUUCCACGUGUAGCGGUGAAAUGCGUAGAGAUGUGGAGGAACACCAGUGGCGAAGGCGACUCUUUGGUCUGUAACUGACGCUGAGGCGCGAAAGCGUGGGGAGCAAACAGG
rnacentral:rRNA from 1 species